rnacentral:rRNA from 1 species
UAAUGUCUGGGAAACUGCCUGAUGGAGGGGGGUAACUACUGGAAACGGUAGCUAAUACCGCAUAAUGUCGCAAGACCAAAGUGGGGGACCUUCGGGGCCUCAUGCCAUCAGAUGUGCCCAGAUGGGAUUAGCUAGUAGGUGGGGUAACGGCUCACCUAGGCGACGAUCCCUAGCUGGUCUGAGAGGAUGACCAGCCACACUGGAACUGAGACACGGUCCAG